rnacentral:rRNA from 1 species
CGAACGGGUGAGUAACACGUGGGCAACCCUGCCCAAAAGAGGGGGAUAACACUUGGAAACAGGUGCUAAUACCGCAUAACCAUAGUUACCGCAUGGUAACUAUGUAAAAGGUGGCUAUGCUACCGCUUUUGGAUGGGCCCGCGACGCAUUAGCUAGUUGGUGGGGUAAAGGCUUACCAAGGCAAUGAUGCGUAGCCGAACUGAGAGGUUGAUCGGCCACAUUGGGACUGAGACACGGCCCAAACUCCUACGGAAGGCAGCAG